rnacentral:rRNA from 1 species
GUAGGGAAUCUUCGGCAAUGGACGAAAGUCUGACCGAGCAACGCCGCGUGAAUGAAGAAGGCCUUCGGGUUGUAAAAUUCUGUUAUAAGGGAAGAAAGACGUGAGUAGGAAAUGGCUCACGAGUGACGGUACCUUAUGAGAAAGCCACGGCUAACUACGUGCCAGCAGCCGCGGUAAUACGUAGGUGGCAAGCGUUAUCCGGAAUUAUUGGGCGUAAAGAGCGCGCAGGUGGUUGAUUAAGUCUGAUGUGAAAGCCCACGGCUUAACCGUGGAGGGUCAUUGGAAACUGGUCAACUUGAGUGCAGAAGAGGGAAGUGGAAUUCCAUGUGUAGCGGUGAAAUGCGUAGAGAUAUGGAGGAACACCAGUGGCGAAGGCGGCUUCCUGGUCUGUAACUGACACUGAGGCGCGAAAGCGUGGGGAGCAAACAGGAUUAGAUACCCUAGUAGUCC